CGUUGAAACACAGGUUAUCGUACGAUCACCGAAGUUAAGCAACAUCGAGCCUGGUUAAUACUUAGGUGGGUGUCUGCUUAGGAAUACCAU